rnacentral:rRNA from 1 species
UACGUAGGUGGCAAGCGUUGUCCGGAUUUACUGGGCGUAAAGGGCGCGUAGGCGGCCUUCUAAGUCGAACGUGAAAUCCCCGGGCUCAACCCGGGAACUGCGUCCGAUACUGGAAGGCUUGAAUCCGGGAGAGGGAUGCGGAAUUCCAGGUGUAGCGGUGAAAUGCGUAGAUAUCUGGAGGAACACCGGUGGCGAAGGCGGCAUCCUGGACCGGUAUUGACGCUGAGGCGCGAAAGCCAGGGGAGCAAACGGG